rnacentral:lncRNA from 1 species
UGAAGAGUUCAGCAUCUCUUAGUCAACUAAGUACCACGAGGGCAAGAACCAAACAGAAGGGCGAGAGUAUGAGAGUAUGAGAGUACGUGCAGCUGUGCUCCAGGCAUGUGACACUCACUGGUGGACCAGCUUCCGCUGGGAAGUCAGCAGAGCUCGCAAAUAGAAAUUGUUAGACUUCCCUGAAGAACUUCCCAACAACCACCAGUUCUGUGAAACAACAUGUGCUACUCAAAGUUUGAUUAAAUGGGAGAAAAAAAAAUUCCCCAUAGGCAACCUUAGGGGCGUGUAACAUUGGCUCUCAGUCAUUGGAACCUGAUUCUGAGGAUGCAUCGGCAAGCGGCAUGCCGUGUCACAACACAACAUCUGGCUAUUUGAAAAACAUCAAAUACACAAAUCAGCAUGCAAAAAUAAAUGAAUGAAACAGGAA